rnacentral:lncRNA from 1 species
CACUUUCUGUUUUAAUUUCAGUGGGUGUUGCUAUGCUUUCCUCUGUACAAGCUGGUGGGGUAUCAAUUCGUUCUUCCUUAACUUUGGGACUUUCACAGGGUUCCUGCAAUUCAUUUUUGACAAUGUUCAACAUAAUGUUCAAAGGGUUUUCAACUGGUGUCUUGCUGGGAGAUGGUGUACAAUCAAAUGAAGAUGUCUACAAAAUGAAAAGCCCUGUGAGUUCUAAUUCAAGUUCAAAAGUACCACAUUAGUUUUAUUUAUAAGACCUUUGUGUGGACAAAGAAACAUACACAUAACAAAUAAAUAAUACCUGCUUCCCCAUACAUUAUAAAAGCAGGCAAAUAAAUAUACUGAGCGUUUAAUACAUCCUCAGCAGUGAUCUGAGCUAAGAAAAGCAGUAACCACUGUCAGGCCAAAAAAAGUUGAUUAGAUAUACUUCUAUAUUUAACCCCACAGAGAUAGUAACCCCUACAUAUACUAUGGAAUUGUGACUAUCGUAAUUUCAAAUACUCUGACCUCACAAACCAUCAAAUGUCCUAGAAUGUCUACUCUCUUUUGAUUACCUAAAUGUAUCUUCCAAACUGCCUUUUUAAUUUUUAUUUAUUUUUUUAGUUUUUUUUAAGUUUAUUUGUUUUGAGAGAGAAUAAGCAGGGGAGGGGCAGAGAGAAGAAGAGAGAAUUUCCCAAGCAGACUCCACACUGGCAGCACAGAGCCUGAAGUGGGGCUCAAACCUAUGAACUGCAAGAUUACCUGAGCCAAAAUCAAGAGUCUAACGCUUAACUGACUGAGCCACACAGGUGCCCCUCAAACUCCCUCUUGAACCAGUUAGUGUUUAUUGUUUGGUUUUAAGAAAUGGUUACUCUCAAAUAUGAAAAUUUGAACUUCUGAAGUCAAGACAGGUCUUUCAGAUUUCACAUUUCACAUGUGAGCACUUUAAAAUUAUUCCUAUGCUAUAAUAUGCUAAGUUUAAAAAAAAAAAAAGGGCCGUAAACACUACCCAUAACUCUAGAAAUCUGUUCACAUUAUGAUCAUCCUCUUCAGUUUCCCUCACAUUUCUCUGGGCCUACUGUUUUAGUAAAAAACAUCAAGACUCAAGUGAAUAGAAUGCAAGGAAUACAGAAAUUUCAAAAUCUAAAUCAGAUCCUAUCAAUCUAGCACCAAUAUUUAGUGAACAACCUAAAUGCUACAUCAAAACACAAAACAGCUCAAUAAAAUUAAACAAUAUUGCUCUGAUGCAAAAAAAAAAAAAAACUGAAAAUAGAAUUUAUUAAUGUACAUGAGAAAAAACAGUAAUCAAAAAGAACUUACAUUUUGAUAAUCCUCGUAACAUGAUGGAUGAUAAAUCUGAAGCAAAAAGAAAAACAGUAAGUAGGUAUUCACAUGUGUGUUCAUUUCCAAUAGACUAUUCUGAUAGGAUUGUCUUUUUUAAUUUACACCAAAAAAUAGCUACCUUAGAAAGGUGGCAAAAAUCACUUGGUCACAUAUGUGGAUAAAACAAAAAUUUCGUCCAGUUUCUCUAUAAUCUUGCUUUAUACAUUUAAGUAGAUAACAUGGUAUACUUUUAAGAUAGUAACAGUUUUUUUAUGAUGAAUUAUAAAUUCAGAAUUAAAAUGAUGUGGUUUAGGUAAAAAGAAGAUUGACUAGAUUCAGAUCUACUCUGGGUUUAUCGUUAACUAAUUCUGCAACUUCUUAUAUAAAAUGAGUAUAGAACCAAUUGCUAAAAUAACUUCCAACUCAAACACUCUAUACCUUUUUUAUAAGAAUCAAAAAACAAAAAUUCUUCUUUCCAACUGGUGAGCUAGCCCCUACAAAAAAAAUCUAAUCUUAACACUUAUAAAGAAUUGAAAAUUACCUUUCCAUCUACUCUAAUAGCAUUUUUUAAAUGCCAUUCCUCCUCUUCUUCAUCCCAGUAUUGUUCAAAUUGUUCUUGACAGAUUUCACAACUCUAAAAUAGAAUCAUAAAAAUGAAAUUUACAGAACACAUUCAAUCAACUUAGGUAAAAACAUAUAAACAUUUUAUUAAGUGGAAGAAAACUUAAGUGUUAUCUGGAAGUUCAAUAUAUAAAUACAAAAUAAGUUCUAAGGAUUUUGCAUUCUUCCAUGCAAAAAUAGUUAACAUUUAUUUUGCUGUUGUUGGUCACUGAUAAGGAAGUCAGGGAUGACCAGAGGUAGAAAAUUUAAUAUUCUUUUCUUACCUCAACUGCUCCAGCUGGUCCAGCAGGUACACUUUGGAACUCCUUUUCUUUUGCAGCCUCCUGAGUUUUGAGCACAACUUCUUCAUGCACCUUUUCAAAAAACUGGCUCUUUGCACGUUCUUCCAAAUCAGCUAUUUCCUCAAAUUCUAUCCAGUCCUUAAAAGGAGUUGAUUUAAAAGGAAUAUUUUCAUUUGUUUCUAAACUUUUACUGCUUAUCUUCAAUAUAAUAGCAUUGAAAGAUAAGGGUACAUUUACCUAUAAUAUGCUUUAAUAUUAUUUAAAAUUAUACUUUCUCUGUGAACCCCACAACUUAGAGACAAUACAAAGCAACUACUGAACAGUUAAGUUCUUAAUGUUCAUUUUCCAUUACCUCUAGAGUUACAACUACUAAUUUAAACAAGAUAAAUUUCACAUAAAAUUUUUGACAAAAAAAAUAAUGUCAUAGGAAAUUGGAAUUUUACAGCUAGUAGAAACUUACGUCCUACUCUUAUCUCAACAAAAAGCAAAUACAUACUCUUCAAAUUUAUUUUAAAAACGUUUUAUAUUCUAGGGAUCAAAUUCUAUUUAGAAAAUUGAUGAGAUAGCUCCCAGCAAUUAUUUAAACUAUAACACUUUUUAGAAUGAUAAGAUUUAAGGGUUAAAAGAUGGUUUAGAGGUAUACUGAUUACUUACUGUUAAACUGUAGUACCAACGUCUAUGAGUGACUUUUCUGCUAACAUCUUUUUCAGUUCUGUUUUGCCGAUAAUGCCAGUCCAAGUGGUCUGCAUAUACAUCUGUCUGUGAUGUUGUAAACCUCAUUCCACAAGAGUAACACUGAAUACCAGUGUACAGUCGAUUUAUAACGCUAUCAUAACGUCUAUUUUGAAAAACAAAGAAAUCAUCUUUAGUUCUGAUAAUGUGGAAAAAUGGCCAAAAGCUGGCUGAAACAAUACCUAAGAUCAAUAUUGUUCUCUAAUAUCAUGUCACUGACCCUCUUUAAAUCAACUUUGGUGAAUUUUAGAACAUGGAGUCUAUCCUCUUAUUGAUAGGCCUGGCCCACUUAUUUCCUUUCUAGCUAAAAAUGGAAUGAUCAUCUGCUAACUAAUAAGCCAAUAGCUGGCCUGCUCUUAGAUUAGUGUCAACAUCAAGGUGGACAUGGCAGAUGGGUAUGGCAGAAUAAAUGGAUUUCACCUCUUCAGAUCUUUGGAGUUCUGAAUGACUCAACUACCCCACCCUCAUCUAAAGAAUGGUGAAAGUAGUACAAAAGAAAUAAUAGUAUACAUAACUAAAAAGAAAAAUUAGACUCAUGGUAAACUGAGGUCACCAUCAGUUCUUACAAUUCUGAGCUUCCUAUUUGGAAAGAAAUAGGUAUACAGACCAACUAACUGAAUAAAUAGGGCAGUUAUGAACUGUUAAUACUAAAUAAUGAUUUAAUAAAAAUGGUUUUAUAACUAUAUGGGGAAGAGUUGGUAGGACAGUAAAAGAGCUGGCUAAAUCUUCAUUUUCAGGAAAUCAAAAGAUUGUCUAAAUGUGAUAAAUCAAGAAAUCAAGAAAAAUAUGUAUCUUUUAAGAAAUAGAGAAAUGCAAGGAACCAUAACUAACAGUUAAAAAUGGUUUAAAAAAAGCGUCUGGGUGGGGGUAUUGGAUGGUUCAGUUAAGCAUCUGACUCUUGAUAUUGGCUCAGGUCAUCUCAGGGUUCGUUGAGAGCGAGACCCGCAUCCAGCUCUGCGCUGACAGGGUAGAGCCUGCUUGGGAUUCUCUCUCUGCCACUCCCCACUCACACUCCCUCUCUCUCUUUCAAAAUAAAUAAAUAAACUUAAAAACAAUUAUUUUUAAUGCUUCUGGGUAAAGAGUAAAGCCAGGAAAAAGGGAUACUAUCUUUUAUUAUAAGCCUUUAUUAGAAGACUUUCAUUAUAAAGCUUUAAUUCCAUGAAUUACAGUUAAAAAAAAUUGAGUUUUAAAAGGUGUAAUCCAUUAGGUGUCUAUAUUUUUAUGAAGUAUUCAUAAGGAUAUAAUAAGUCCAUAAAGCACCUUUAACUUUUUUUAUAGGAGUAAUACACACAAAUAAAAUAUUAGGAAAAAAUAUGCACCAAAUGUUAAAAGAGUGGUUAUCAGUAAAGUUGGAAUUGUAGGUUAAAUUUAUUUUCUUGAUUUAACUGAAUUUUCUAAUUUUCUUUUUUUUUCCUUAAAUUUUUUUUUUUAAGUAGGCUCCAUGCCCAACAUGGGGCUUAAACUCACAACCCUGAGAUCAAGAGUCACAUGCUCUACAGAGCAUGUAGGAAUUUUCUAACUUCCUACAAUGAAUAUGCAUUACUUAUGAAAUGAAAAUAGAUUUUUUUUAAGUUCUUAAAUACUAGACUAUAAAAAUCUCAUUUUCCUAUCUUCAAAAGCACAAGAAUAUCAAAUACAGAAAAAAUGAUUAAGAGAAAUGGAGAUAAAAGGAAUACAUGAUGAUUAAUACCUAUUAUUGUAACUCCUUAUAUUUCCUAUACCAAAUACAGAUAUUAAAAAAUUGAAAUUUGGGGAUGGUCUCUUGGCCUAAAUACUUGUGCAGCAGACAUAUUUUAAAACGAAAUUUAAAAACAUAAAGGCUUCUUGAAGUUUAUGUUAUGUAUAUUUCACUACAUUAAAGAAAAAGAAAACAUGCUUCCUAAAUUUUAUAAACACUUGAAAGAGGGGUAAAAUGAAUAGCACUAAUAAUAACAUCCACUGUUUAAUUAAAGUCAUUGUCCCAUUUAUCUUGGAAAAUUAGAAAGAAAAUUAGAUUACAUACUGUUUCAGUUCUUCAAUUGUAAAAUUGGUAAGAUCUGGAACAUCUUGAUCUUCAUUUUGAUCUUCCUCCUCUUCAGGGGCAGGCUGAGCAGCAACUUCAUUUACUUCUUCAAUUGAAAAAAAAACAAACUUCUCAAUACCGUUCUCUAAGCAUUCAUUAUAGAGGAAUACUAAAGUGUCAUAAACAUACAGAGAACCCCAUCUUGUCUAUUCACUGUAUUUACUGACCAAGGAAACAAAUACAAUUCUUUGUUUUGAUAACUGAAAUUAAGUCUGAUUUCUUAAAAGUCAAUUUUCAUGAAAUUUUAUUUCAUCAAUAUUCAAAUUAUUUUUAAAAACUAAAUCAAUAUAAAAUAACUAGUAAAAAGUCUGCACAUGGCAUUUGCACAAACGUUAAAUGAAACAAUGCCCACUAUAAAGUUACUAGUACCAUCUUAGAAAAUUUUUAAAGUAUUUCAUUAUAAGCCAAUUAUAUUUCAUUUCCAGAAAAAAAUUAAAAAUGCAAAAUUUUAAUGACUUUUAUCAUAACUUAUAACAUUACAGCAAAUCAUACAUACACCUUUAAAACUUAAUAAAGUUUUGUGUACAUGCAGUAUAGAAAAACCAUACUCACGUGUUGUAGCUGAAUCAGGCUGGGACAAUUUGAGAAUUCCUGUUUUUAGCAGUUUUGAAAAUAAUUCAUUUACAUCCACCUGACUGAGAUGAUUAUCAGGAUAUGCCUUUGGAAGGGCUCCUUUAAAAAAAUAGCACUCUUAAAAUGAAAGUAGAACUCAAAGAUGUAAAUCAUACUAUGCAUUUUUGAAAGUUUUCUUCAAGAUGCCCUAUCAAUAAUAAAUUUGGGGAAUGCAUGGGUGGCUCAGUCAGUUAAGCGUCUGACUUCAGCUCAGGUCUGGUCAGUGAGUUUGAGUCCCAUGUAAGGCUCUGUGCUGACAGCUCAGAGCCUGGAGCCUGCUUCAGAUUCUGUGUCUCCCUUUCUCCCUGCCCCUCCCCCACUCAUGCUCGCUCACGCGGCGCAUGUGCACGCUCUCUUUCUCUCUCUCUCAAAAAUAAACAUUAAAGAAAAUAAAAAAAUAAAAAUAAGUUUGAAAAAAUCUUAUUCAGGAUGAGUGUAAUUAUCACAGAAGCUCCUAAAGUGAACUUUUCAUUUAGGUCAGCAAGUCCUCAUCUCUUAAAAAUAUAUUCUAGGACAAAUAUUAAAAGUUAACACUGAAAACACUGAUACUUUAUGAAACUUUAUAAGUACUUUAUAAAUACUUUAUUGAGCAGGGAUAAACCCACGACAGGGUAUCAUGACCUGAGCCAGAAUCAAAAGUCGGACGCUUAACCGACUAAGCCACCCAGGCGCCCCAAUUACUAUUCUUUAAAUCAACUGUAAACACAGUAUUUUAAUGUAUUUGUAUGUCACUAUUAUCUAUUAUGCAUCUCACUAUACCUCUAGAAAAAAGUUCUGAACUACUAAAAAUUUCUCUUCAUGACAGGAAAUUCAGUUUGCAUCCACAAUAUACAUAAUCCCUGCUCUUAACCACUGCAUACUGUACCCUUAGCACAGUCCGUUGUACACUGCGGGCUAAUUAAUAUUUGUUGAAAUGUCUGAAUACAUGAAUGAAUAAAUUAACCUCAACAGUCAAUUACAACACCAUUUCACACCCUAGUUUAACAUUUACAUUUCACUGGGAUUAGCUAUUUAUGUUUCAGAGUUGUAACCAGCUAUUCACAAGCCUGUGAGCAGCUGAGUUGAGUGAUCAAGGGCAUGAACUAUGGAAACAGACUCCUGGGAUUCUAACUGGAAAUCCCAUUUUCUAGUUGUGUGACAUAACCAAGUUGCAUAUCUGUGCCUCAGUUUUAUAGGUAAAGAAGAGUCAUCCUAGAACAAUACCUAGCAUACAGCAAAUGAUCAAUAUGUUUAAAUAUUUACUACUAGGAGGUGUUUUUACUUUCAUUUUCAAGAAGAAACCUUAAGAGAAGCUGAAUAUAGAACACUGGAUGCUUUUCACACCUCUUUAGUAGGAGUGAGCAGAACCUGAAGUAAGGCAUACUUAACAUCUCACUCAAUUCCUCCAACCUACAGGAAAAAGAUGUGAUUUCCUCUGUGACAUUGCUAUGCCCUGUGUGUAUACACAUGCACCCCAAGGUUGUAAAAACAAAAAGAAAAUUUGCAGUUUUUGCACACUAUCUCGUGCUACUCACCCCAACAUAACAAAUCCUCUACUCAACAAAAAAAACACUGAGUUCUAAAAAGAAUACGUUAAUACAGCACAUGUUAUGAAGCACUUUUGCAUAUACUACCUUAUUUGACUCUUAAAAAACAAACUUCCCAAGCAAAUACUGACUUUAUUGUCUGUCAAGAGGAAGCAACUGAAUCCCUGAGAGGAUAUUUGCUUAUACCCUGCCUACCUAUAAAGUAGUAAAGUAUAGCUUCUAACACUGGUCUUCUGACUUUACAUCCCAGUUCUUUCUUCCCUUUUCAAUACGGUGACAACAAAAACACAUUUAAAAAUAUUAGGUAAAUUAGGUAAAUAUUAAUUUACCCUAAUUGUCAAUCUAGGAACUAAAAACACAAGUGUUUUUCAAAUUAAUUACAUGAAAUACUUGUGAUGAUAUAAUUUAAGAACUAAAGCAUAAACUAGAACUUGACUGACUAGGCUUUCCCUAGUUACUUCAGAAGUUUUGGAAAACUCCCUAAAUUUGUAAACUAAAUAGUGCCACGCUACAGCAUGUUUCUGAAAGUGCCUAUUUUAAUGAUUAAAAAAAUAAAGCAAGUACCACUACAAUUUGGUUGGGCUAGUUCUCAAUACACUAAAGCUUUGCAGUUAUUUUAUAAAAUACCAUAAUUUAUAUACUUCCCAUUGUUUUCAAAUUAAAUUUAAAAUUCACUUUUUUUUUUUCCGUUUAUUUUGAGGAGAGAGAGAGAGAAAGAAAGAGCGAGAGAACAAGCAGGAGAGGGGCAGAGGGAGAUGGAGAGGUAGAGAAUCCCAAGCAGGCUCUGCAGCAUGGAGCCUGAUGGAGUGCUCAAACUCAUGACCUGAGCCAAAAUCAAGAGUCAGAUGCUUAACUAAGACACCCAGGCACCCCAAAACUAAAAAUCGCUUUUAAAGCUCUCAUACCCAAUACAGUUACUGUAUCCAUAACAAGACUGUUAUGCCUCAUCUCACAGUAACAAAAGAGCUUCUCAGGGGACCUGGCUAGGGACUCAGGUUUUUCUUUUUUGUUUUUUUUAAGAAGGCUCUACACCCAACCCAGGGCUUGAACUCACAACCCCAAGAUCAAGGGUCACAUGCUCUACCAACUAAACCAGCCAGGCACCCUAUUUCUACUUUUUUAACAUGUUGUGUACAAUUAUUAUUUGAGUGCCCAUAAAGACAUAUGAAUGAAUCAACUUUAUAAAGCAAAGUCCCUAGUAUUCACUUCGUGUUUGCUGGAUCAUCACAUAUACACAAAACAAAAACUCAAAAUAUCAAAUAACUGAGAUUUCUGAGGUUUGUCAUUUAUUUCAUUUUACCUCAACACAAACAUCACCCUUUACUCCACCCUCCACAGGUUUCUUUCUUUUUUAUGGUCUACAAAACCCUGGCUGACCAUGUCUAGCUAUAAACAGGAUCCAAGUGAAUACACAUAAACAGUGGAAACAAACUCAAAAAGGGAACACAAAUUUCUAGCCAGAUUAAAUUUCUCUAAACUGCAUAUCCCCUCUCAAAAUUGUCAUUUCCUAAAACUGACAAAAAUAGCUACUCAACAAAACAGUAUUUGUUUUUUGAAAAAACGCUAAGUUCAGAAAGUACAUACCUGAAGGAUUCUGAACAAAUGCUCCAGGAUUUUGUGGAUGAACUGGUAAAAAUUGUUGUCCUUGGCCAAAUGCUACUGGCUGAGCAACACCAGUAAGAACCUUUAAGAGAAACCUUGGUUUUAAAAAAGAACAUCCUUUCUGUAUUUUAACUAAAACUUUAACAUUCUGAUCAUAUAAAAAUACCGACAGAUAUCAUAAGGUCUGGUUUCUACAAUAAAAAUGUACAAGUGUAACUUAACUGGAUCACUUCAUUUCUAGACUUUCUACAAAAAUGAAACAAUACUCCCUUACCUGUUUCAUGGGUUAUAAGAUAUAUGAGAAGUUUAAGAUACCAUGCAAACAUAAGAUAGCCAACAGUCUGUGUGACCUUACACAAAUCACUUUACCUUGUUGAUCCUUUCCCUUAUUUUACAAAUAGAACUGAUAUCUAGAGAUAGGACCUGUACACAAUCAUAAUGACUAGCUGUCAGCAAAGCUGAGGCCAGAACUGCUGACCAGACUCCUUCCCACAGAUAUGAAAAGCCUGCUUUAAUCAGCAAUCUCUUAACUCUUUUUUGAUCAUCCUGCUUGAACAUCAUACUUUGGGUUGCAAAGUAGACUGUAAAAGACAAACAACUACUGUACAGACUGCUUGCUAUCAAUAAUGCUUAUAACACAUUUUAAAAUCUUUUUGUUUUACAUUUUCUUCCAUGAGACAUUACUACUAUAAAAUGAAUCUGUCCUAGUAAGAAAAUGUCAGUGCCUAGAAAAAAAGUGAAUUUAGCCCAGGAGAAUUUCAGCAGGCAAGCAAAGUAGUCAUUAAUCACACAAUGUAAGCACACUGCUUUAUAAUUAUUUCAAUAUGCAUUUUAAAAUAUAUGCAGAACAAAAGCAAAAGAAUACCAACAGAUGAUUGUGCAAGUUGAGGUGAUGCACUGAAUGUAUUUGGGAGACAUGUCACAAGUUUCCUGUGUUUACAUUAAUAUCACACAACUGUAUUCAACUGGAAUCACUGGAAAGGUGGUGAAAAGUAGGAAGAAAAGAAAAAGAAAGGCUGUAAAAGCAUGAGCAGUUUGAUUUUAUUUAACUCAGGUUAAGGAAGUUCUUAAAAGUCUAAAAAUCCAGCUCCCUAUAACUUUAAGGGACUCCACAGUUCUACAAUGUAGCACGAGUCUAUGAAACAAACUCACAAUUGUGUAAUACUCUACUACCUUUGAAACCAAAAAGGAAAAAACAUAAUGGGGAGGCUAUGCAUGUGUAAGGGGUAAUAUGGGAAAUCUCUGUAUUUCACAGCUCAACUUUGCUGUGAACCUAAAACUAUUCUAAAACAAUAAAGUCCAUUAAAAAACAAACACUGUGUGUGUGUGUGUGUGUGUGUGUGUGUGUGUGUGUGUGUGAUAGAGAGAGACAGAGACAGAGACAGAGACAGAGACAGAGAGAUUUCUACAGAUCCUGGGAGAGCUAAAAUCACUUUUGGAUUUAAAUUGCAAAUUUAAGGCUCAAGACUCUCAUCCCACUUGCCUAGCAUGUGGACUUUUGGAGUACCUUACAAACUGUCAAUCUACAGAAUAAAUUAUCUCCUAAAAAUCUUCAAACCCUAGAAACAUUAAAAUGGUCCACAUCUGCAAAGAACAUCAUUUUAGAGUAACUACAACAGACUUACCUGUUGAGACGCCUGAAUAUUUCCUACUGUUAUUGGAGCAGGUAAAUUGCCAAAGUUUCCAAAUUGGGAACUCUGGAGAUUCUUUUCAUCAAAAUAGUGUCCAGAAGCUCUGUUAAGGGGAUUCGAGAAACUCUGGUUUCCAGGGCCAUGUGGUCCAUUAAAAUUUGGUCCUUGAGGUGAAUCAAACAUUUGUUCAUGUCUUUGGAACUGUAGUCCUUGGGAUGGGGCAUUAAAAGCAUUGCCAGGUGGAUCAUUAUAUGGACCAGACUGAUUGAAAGAUACUGAUUCAAGCCUUUGUGAAGGAUGAUUGUCAAAUCGUGUGCUUUGAAGACCAAGAGGAAUAUCAAACCUUGAUGCUUGCUGGUGUUGUGGGCCAUCAAAUCUUUGAGGUACACCAUCAAAUCUUGGUUGAACCUGCUGUCCAGGUGGUCCAUCAAAUCUCUGUGGGCCUGGCUGACCAGUUCUUUCAAAUCUAGGACCUGGCUGCCCAUGUAAUCCAUCAAAUCUUGGCAAGAGUGAUGGCUGACCUGGCUGCCCAUCAAACCUUAAAGCAUGACAACCUUCAAAUCUUGGACCACCUUGACCUAGAGGCCCUUCAAUUCUCAGGCCACCUCCUGGUACAGAAGGACCCUCAAACCUCAUUCCACCUCCUUGUUGGACUAACGGUCCUUCAAACCUGAUCCCAACCCCUGGCUGACCAUGUGGACCCUCAAACCUAAGGUUCCCACCAAGUUGAUUAUGUUGUCCUUCAAACCUCAAACCAGCUACUGACUGACCAUGGGGACCCUCAAACCUCAUUCCAACUCCCUGCUGUAGCAAAGGGCCCUCAAAUCUGAUCCCACCUGCUGGCUGACCAUGAGGUCCAUCAAACCUAAUUGCAGCCCCUGAUGGACCAUGACCCCCUUCAAAUCUAAGUCCACCUACAGGCUGACCUCGGGGAUUAUCAAAUCUAAGUCCACCCACAGGCUGACCAUGAGGUCCCUCAAACCGUAGACCACCCACAGGUUGACCCCGAUGUCCCUCAAACCUGAGACCACCCACAGGCUGGCCCCCUGGUCCCUCAAAUCGCAAACCACCUGCAGAUCCCUCAAACCUCAGACCAGGUGAACCUUCAAACCGAAAACCACCUCCUCCUGCCUGACCAAUCGGCCCCUCAAACCGCAGAGGCGUCCCUACUGGUCCUGGAGGACCUUCAAAUCUCAAAGGACACCCACCUCCUAGCUGACCUUGUGGUCCUUCAAAUCUCAAAGGGCCACCUCCCCCCAUUUGUCCUGGUGACCCAUCAAACCGAAGAGAACCUGGUGUAGGAGGUCCAUCAAUUCUAGGGCUUAAUUUAUUAGGUCCUUCAAAAAUCAUCUUGGUUGGGCCAUCUCUUGUUACUGAUGGCCUACUAGGUCCGUCAAAUAAUGGUCUGUCUUCAGCUAAAGCUGUAAGUCGCUGAUUUGUAUCAAGGCCGGCAAAUCUUGAUGCUGGGCUAUCUACAAAUGGUUUAUCUGAAUCUUCAUAUCUAGGUCGCUUAAGUGGAAAACGAUCAUUGAAUGGUGACCUCUGCUCUUCUCGUACACCUUUUAAAAAGAAAAAGAUGUUAUUUUCCCUGAAUCUGAAUUUUUAUUAAAUUAUCUUAAAUCUUUUUAUUUUCAUGUAAAUGUUUAGCCAAAAAUAUCCAAAACUAUCUCACUUUAUUAGAGGGGAAGGAAAAGACAGCAUAUCAAGCAGCAAGAAAGAGGAUGCCCUCUACAGUCAGACACACCUGGGUUUAAAAAAAAAAAAAAAUCCCCAUUUUGUCAACUAAUUAUUUGACUUUGAGAGCAAGUUAUUUAACCUCUCUGGUCUUGCUUCCUAUCUGUAAAAUGGGAUAAAAUAUAUUUAAUUGGGUUAUUGUGAGGAUUAAAUCAGAUUACAUAUAUAAAGAACCUAAGUCAAGUACCUAACACAUAGGGUGGCCUUAAGUAUUAGCUCCCUUCCCUUCCCUUUGAGGGGAAAAAAAAUGAAACAAAAUAAACAAAAGGUAGUCUGAAUAGUCACAGAAAUCCAUCCCCACUUAGCUUGUUCAUUUUCCCUUCACUGCUGAUUCAAUAGGCAUAAUCUGAUUUAACUUUUUCUACCUUUAGCAGAGACUUGCUCGUCAUGUCUUCUCCGGCCCUCAUGGGGUGAAAGAUUCUCAGCAUAAGUACGACUCCCAGAUAUAGGAGAAAGACGUCUUGCUCUUUCACUAAAUUGUUCUUUUCUGUCAAACUGUGCUCCACUAUUCCUACUUGCAUGUUUACUUUUGGAUGGCUCACAUUCUAUUCCAGACAACAAGGCAUCGGUCAAAGGGUAGUCAAAAAUAUCAGGAUCUAAGAGAUCAAGUCUUGGAAAUGAAUGCUGAACCUGUGUCCUUUUCAGUUUUGCUUUAUGUUCAUAGUAGGUUAAUUCAGCAUCAGAUAAGAGAGGUUUCUUUUUUAAUCCACCUUUAUUUUCUUCUGUAGGACUAUCCCGUACAUUGCAUCUAUGUUUACCUUCUUGAUACUGAAAUAGCUGUCGAAUUUGAUGCACAACAACAAGGAACUCAUCCUGUGUAAUUUCACCAGAUGCUAAACGUUCACUCGUCUGUGUAGGGGUGAUAAAAGGAAAUCAAAUAUUUUAAGGAUAAAAAGCACUUACAAAAAAACUUAGACAAAAGAGAAUAAUGACUACAUGUGGUCAUAGUAACUACCUUUUGAAGUAAUUCUCUUUUGCUUGCAAGAGUUAACUCUUUAGGAAUCUGAAGAUUGGCAUCUACACUUAAUCGAUGCUGCUGCUUUGGGGUUCGAGGUGACAAGAUUCCUUUAGUGCUUGACCAGCUCUCCCUAUGCCUUAGAUGAGGAGAUUUACUAUGUUCAUCACCCUGUUGUAAGCUGAAACCACAAAAACAUGUUACUUCAUGAAAAUUUUUUCAAUUACUCAGGACCAUAUUCCAAAGGAUCUGGUAAAAAUGAAUACAUGUAACUACAAAAGUUAACUAAAUGAUUAAGAGCACAAGGUCUGAAGUCAGGAAAAUCAGACAUGAAUUCUACUUCUUGCAUGUCCUAGACGUGCAGCUUUAGGUAGACUAGUUAACCUUUCUAAACUUGUUUCCUUAUCUGUAAAAUAGGAAUACUAAUGGUAUUUCACCCAGUUACUGAAAAAUAAAAGGAAAAAUAAAGCACUAAUUACAGCAUCCAAUAAAUAUUACCCAAUUUUAAAAUUAAGACUGUCUUUAAAACAUACGUUAUUUUACUUAAUUAAAAACGUUAACAUCCUACCUUUUAUUUUCUUCCCAACCAGAUUUCCAUCUUUUGGUAGACUUGGAACUUUGCCAAUUUUCUAUAUUCUCCUUUGGUUCAGUGCCGGAUUUUGUAGAAUGCUGAUUCGCAGCUUCUUGUGGUCGUUCCUCUUCAGUCUUUUUUAUUCGCCUCGGAUCUCGAAUAUCUUGUUUAUUACUCCUUUUAGCAUUUCGCUCUUCCCUGGAAGGUAGCGUAAACUCUUCCAUAUGUGAUUGCUUGACUCCUGAUUGGCGAAUCUUUCCAGCUUUGGGUGUGGAACUUGGAGACAUACUCCUCUGCCUUCGUUUGGGUGACCGCCUAUCUCUUCUCUUUGGAGAAUGUAUAAUUGGUGAUCGAGACUUGGGUGAUCGUGAUCUUGACCGCUUUCUAGUACUUGAUCUCCCUGGUUUUGUCCCUUGUUUUUCUGAUUCUUCCGUUAUUGUAUCCUGCUUUUGUACGAUGCCAUUGAUGAUUUUAUUUCGACUUCCAACGAGUCGGUGUUCAGAUGAUUUCAUGUGCUCAUCUUUGUCCUUUUUUUCUGCAGUUUUUCUCUUGUCUUUUACAUCAUCAUCUUUGCUAUCAGUCUUAUCCUGAAGAUGUUUUUUUAACCUAGGAUCUCUCUUGCUCAUAUCCGACACCCUUGCACUUUCGGAUUCUUGAUUUUUCAAGUCUUUUGUGUGGGAUAAUUUGUUUUUCAAAGGUGAUGGUGAUUUAGAUUUAGAUUUAGAUUUAGAAUCUAAUUGGUCAAGUUCUUUCUUGGUUAUUUUUUCACCUGAUUUGCUUUUCUCUUGCUUGGAUGAAUUUAGUUUUUCAGAGGGUACAGUUUUACUUGUCUUAAUAUCAGAUUGGUUCAAUGUGUUCAUUAGGAAUUCUUUCCUGUGACUCUGAUCUUUUCCAUGCGAAGAAUGUUGACUCAUCCUAUUAAGACGGGGAUCCCGAUUAGUUCCUUUCAAAUCCUGAAUUUGUAAGGAUGGACCUGGACGGCUUUUCUCUGGUUGCACAGGAACUUGAUGGGGAGGUUUAACAGCCAAAGGGGGAAUUUGUGGAACAUGUAAUUUGGAUGGUGCAGAUCCAGGACCUAAGUUGGAUGUCUCCUGCUGAACGCUAAGAGAAACUGCCUGAAAUACAAAAUAAACGUUUAUGUUAAUACAUAAAACAUGCAGAUUAUCUGUCAGGAAAACAAAAAAUAAAGAAUGUAAUGUUUUUUCAAUAAAUCCAUUCAAUACUACAGUUACACUGUAUACUUCUAGUGUUUAAGUGGAGAUUAAAAUGAAGAGAGAAAGUUCAUGUACUUAUGGGGCUUGUUAUUUCUUACUAGUCCUUUACUUUUGGGUUUUUGUAAUGUAAUCUUUAAGAGAACGAAAAAAACACCCUCCCUCUUCCUAAUUAUGCAGGAUUCUGAGCCAGACUGCUACUAAGAAAUUACCAAAUAAAUCACUGCACCCUAGGUGCACAAGAAUCAGAGUCAUUCCAGCUAAAUUUUAGGUCAUAAAAUUUAGUUCCUCCUAAUGUCACAUAAUGAACUUGAUAAAAUCUUGCCUUCCUGCACUUCCUCACUCUCAAAUUCAAGUGCUAAGUAAAAUAACUUAGUAAAAGGUCAUUCAUGCAUGGAAGUAGGUAAUCUUCCUGGCCUCCUUAAUUUUGUGAUGGCUUUUCUUUCAUAGGCUUUAGGAACUGGAUUUCUACUCCUGAAACCUAAGCUCAUAAAACAUUAAAGACUACGCAAAAACAUUCACAACAACACACCUAACCAUCUUGGGACAGGUCUUAAGUCCACUUGAUAUAAUGUUAAUUAAACUAAGGUGUUAUCUUAAAAGAUAGCAAUUUAACAGAAAAAAGUACUUGAAAGAAACUAGUGUAUAGUUUAUACUCAAGUGACUUUUACAAUAAGGAAAUAAAAAUUUGGUGUAAUAAAGGUACCAUAAUUUACAAAAUAAAUGUGGAAAAAGAAUACACUCACUAAUAAAAAUAACAUGCUAAUACAAUUCAAAUACAAAAUAAUUACUUCUCUAUCUGAAGACAGGUUUAAAAUAUUUAAAAUGCCAAAGCUCCUCUACUUACCAGUUGUGCCUUAGCUUGCUCUAGCUCAAGCUCCAGCUUUUUCUGCUGAAGUUCUAACAACUGUUUUUGUUUUGCCAGUAACUGCUGCCUUAUUAGUUGUUCUUGAGUAAGAUUCUUCUGUAUAUCAGGAACAAUUGGAGGAGUGGAGAUGCUAGGGGAACUGACCACUGUGCCAGGUGUUGAAGGCUCUUCGGGCUAUAAGAGAAAAUAAUGUGUUAAAAAUAUAUAUUUCACG